GUAGGUGGCAAGCGUUGUCCGGAAUUAUUGGGCGUAAAGCGCGCGCAGGCGGUUUUUUAAGUCUGAUGUGAAAGCCCACGGCUCAACCGUGGAGGGUCAUUGGAAACUGGAGAACUUGAGUACAGAAGAGGAAAGCGGAAUUCCACGUGUAGCGGUGAAAUGCGUAGAGAUGUGGAGGAACACCAGUGGCGAAGGCGGCUUUCUGGUCUGUGACUGACGCUGAGGCGCGAAAGCGUGGGGAGCAAACAGGGAUUAGAUACCCUGGUAGUCCACGCCGUAAACGAUGAGUGCUAAGUGUUAGGGGGUUUCCGCCCCCUUAGUGCUGCAGCUAACGCAUUAAGCACUCCGCCUGGAGUACGGCCGCAAGGCUG
rnacentral:rRNA from 1 species